CUACGGGGUGCACCAGUGGGGAAUUUUGCGCAAUGGGGGAAACCCUGACGCAGCGACGCCUCGUGAAUGAUGAAGUCUUUUGGGAUGUAAAGUUCUGUCAGUAGGGAAGAUUUUGACGGUACCUACAGAGGAAGCUCCGGCUAACUACGUGCCAGCAGCCGCGGUAAUACGUAGGGAGCAAGCGUUAUCCGGAAUUAUUGGGCGUAAAGCGUGCGUAGGCGGGUCCGUAAGUUAGGUGUGAAAGUUAUCGGCUCAACCGGUAGUUGCAUCUAAUACUGCAGAUCUAGAGGAUAAGAGAGGAAAGUGGAACUCACAGUGUAGCGGUGAAAUGCGUAGAUAUUGUGAGGAACACCAGUGGCGAAGGCGGCUUUCUGGAUUAUUUCUGACGCUGAGGUACGAAAGCGUGGGUAGCGAACGGGAUUAGAUACCCCUGUAGUC
rnacentral:rRNA from 1 species